rnacentral:rRNA from 1 species
AUUGAACGCUGGCGGCAUGCUUUACACAUGCAAGUCGAACGGUAACAGGCCUUCGGGUGCUGACGAGUGGCGAACGGGGGCGUAAUGCAUCGGAACGUACCCAGAGGUGGGGGAUAACGCAGCGAAAGCUGUGCUAAUACCGCAUGUGAUCUGAGGAUGACAGCGGGGGACCGCGCAGCAAUGUUUGGCCUCGCGCCUUUGGAGCGGCCGAUGUCGGAUUAGCUAGUCGGUGGGGUAAAGGCCUACCAAGGCGACGAUCCGUAGCUGGUCUGAGAGGACGACCAGCCACACUGGGACUGAGACACGGCCCAGACUCCUACGGGAGGCAGCAGUGGGGAAUUUUGGACAAUGGGCGCAAGCCUGAUCCAGCAAUGCCGCGUGCGGGAAGAAGGCCUUCGGGUUGUAAACCGCUUUUGGCAGGAACGAAACGGUGUCCGCUAAUACCGGGCGCUAAUGACGGUACCUGCAGAAUAAGCACCGGCUAACUACGCG